AUUGAACGCUGGCGGCAUGCCUUACACAUGCAAGUCGAACGGUAACGCGGGGCAACCUGGCGACGAGUGGCGAACGGGUGAGUAAUGCAUCGGAACGUGCCCAGUAGUGGGGGAUAGCCCGGCGAAAGCCGGAUUAAUACCGCAUACGACCUACGGGUGAAAGGGGGGGAUCGCAAGACCUCUCGCUAUUGGAGCGGCCGAUGUCAGAUUAGGUAGUUGGUGGGGUAAAGGCCUACCAAGCCGACGAUCUGUAGCUGGUCUGAGAGGACGACCAGCCACACUGGGACUGAGACACGGCCCAGACUCCUACGGGAGGCAGCAGUGGGGAAUUUUGGACAAUGGGCGCAAGCCUGAUCCAGCCAUGCCGCGUGCGGGAAGAAGGCCUUCGGGUUGUAAACCGCUUCUGUCAGGGAAGAAAUCUUCUGAGUUAAUACCUCGGGAGGAUGACGGUACCUGAAGAAUAAGCACCGGCUAACUACGUGCCAGCAGCCGCCGUAAGAC
rnacentral:rRNA from 1 species